rnacentral:rRNA from 1 species
GACGAACGCUGGCGGCGUGCUUAACACAUGCAAGUCGAACGGAAAGGCCCUGCUUGCAGGGUACUCGAGUGGCGAACGGGUGAGUAACACGAGGGUGCUCUGCCCUGCACUUCGGGAUAAGCCUGGGAAACUGGGUCUAAUACCGGAUAGGAGCCAUUUUUAGUGUGAUGGUUGGAAAGUUUUUUCGGUGUGGGAUGAGCUCGCGGCCUAUCAGCUUGUUGGUGGGGUAAUGGCCUACCAAGGCGGCGACGGGUAGCCGGCCUGAGAGGGUGGACGGCCACAUUGGGACGAAGUUACGGCCCAGACUCCUACGGGAGGCAGCAGUGGGGAAUAUGGCACAAUGGGCGCAGGCCUGAUGAGGCGACGCCGCGUGGGGGAUGACGGCCUUCGGGUUGUAAACGCCUUUCGCUAGGGACGAAGCUUUUGUGACGGUACCUAGAGAAGAAGCACCGGCUAACUACGUG